rnacentral:rRNA from 1 species
AGCUAAUACCGCGUAGAAUCGAGAGAUGAAAGUGUGGGACCUUCGGGCCACAUGCCAUAAGAUGAGCCCAAGUGGGAUUAGGUAGUUGGUGAGGUAAAGGCUCACCAAGCCGACGAUCUCUAGCUGGUCUGAGAGGAUGACCAGCCACACUGGGACUGAGACACGGCCCAGACUCCUGCGGGAGGCAGCAGUGGGGAAUAUUGCGCAAUGGGGGCAACCCUGACGCAGCCAUGCCGCGUGAAUGAAGAAGGCCUUCGGGUUGUAAAGUUCUUUCGGUAGCGAGGAAGGCACUUAGUUUAAUAAACUAGGUGAUUGACGUUAACUACAGAAGAAGCACCGGCUAACUCCGUGCCAGCAGCCGCGGUAAUACGGAGGGUGCGAGCGUUAAUCGGAAUAACUGGGCGUAAAGGGCACGCAGGCGGUGACUUAAGUGAGGUGUGAAAGCCCCGGGCUUAACCUGGGAAUUGCAUUUCAUACUGGGUCGCUAGAGUACUUUAGGGAGGGGUAGAAUUCCACGUGUAGCGGUGAAAUGCGUAGAGAUGUGGAGGAAUACCGAAGGCGAAGGCAGCCCCUUGGGAAUGUACUGACGCUCAUGUGCGAAAGCGUGGGGAGCAAACAGGAUUAGAUACCCUGGUAGUCCACGCUGUAAACGAUGUCGAUUUGGGGGUUGAGCUUUGAGUUUGGCGCCCGUAGCUAACGUGAUAAAUCGACCGCCUGGGGA